GCCUACGAGAGUUCCUUCAGUCAUGGAGUCAGCAAUAAACAUGGGUUGAAAAUGACCCAGCAAGAGGACAGAUGCACUGUGCGCUCUGUCACGCCAUCCUAAGUCCUUGCACCAUGUAGCCUGUGUCGUGUCUAAAAGACUAGCUGACGUCCCAAUGGCUGGUCCAAACAACAUAUGCCUUCUGCGGAUGAACCAAGGGGCAAAUUCUAAUUCUCAAGUAGAAAAACCGCAUGCGUACCUUUUCAUAAAACGGGAGAAAUUGUGCAGCCAGAAGAAUGGAGUGGACCUGGGAUCCAAAUACCAGAUCGAUGUCGCAUGCCGAAGAGAGACAGAAGGAGAGGAAGACCAUACCAGAGAAGAAGAUUUGCGUCUCAAGUCCCACCACAUAGCCUGGGUCUAAAGUAACAGUGGUAGGGGUUUUGAGUUUCUUUUAAAAGUGGUAGAUGUGGUGUUUAACACCAACUUGUCCGCCACCACAUCCAAUGCCUCUCCAUCAUGGUUCAGCGCAUUUGAAGAGUUUAAAUGCUUCAAAAGGCAUCAAUCAUCUCAUGGGCAUCCAAAGCUUACCCUCUGAUAGAUUACUGGUCUACUGAUGCCACUCUCAGGGUACCAUACUGUGUCUUUACUAUGGUUAAAUGAGAUGACAUGCUAUUUUCAAAUCGAUUACCUAACGUUUAAUUAUUUGUAUUAAAUUAAUCAGGCAAUAACUAACUUGUAGUAAAACGCCAAAUGGAUCUACCUCCUGGUCCUCUUCCCCUGUCUUACCCACCAAGGGUAGAGACAGAGAUGACCUCGCCUACUGAAAUACCGGAUUGGGCAAAGCCACCAGAAGACUAUUCAAGCCAACCAACUAUUGAACCUGACUGGUGUCAGGAAGAAUCACCCUCUGCCUCAAGUGACACCUCUGAAUGGGAACAGCUGAUAGACUCAUUGCUGAUAGAGUAAGGGCACUGUCAUAAACAGAGGCCCAUAUGCGCACUGUAAGAAAAGUGUUUCCUCAUUGUUGCUAGAGUAAUAGGCUCUGUCAUAACCAGAGGCCCAUAUAUGCACUGUAAGAAAAGUAUUUCCUGUUGUAAGAUAUGUCAUCACCCUCUCUGCUCUGAGGGAAUGGGAGGAGCAGCGGAUCGGGUGCAGAGAAUCAAAAGGUAUAUAAAGAGACAUUUGCCAUUACUUUGGUGCUGACUUCUUGAAUUCUGAAUUCAUUUAGACAACCAUUUGACUUCGGGUAAAUGCCACCUGACUCAAAUUACUUAAAGAUUCUAACUUGCUGGAUACCAGGGUAAGAGUCAGUUUACCUAUCGACCAGUUGACCCUGUGUGCAGCAUACGUUUGGAACGAGUGUACCGUUGUGACAAAGUCUUAAUUGACCAAGGAACACUGUAGCACCGGCCGGGUUGCUUGCCCCAGACACUGCGGUAGAUCAACGGCAGAAUUACCACCUGCUGAGAACGGUUGGAAAAUUGUUCGAAUCGACUCUGUCUCCGACUGACCCAGUGACACGUGUACUGUUGUAACACAGUGCCUUACCCUGGAAUCGCGGUUUCAGGUUAUUUGACAAUACUAUCCAACCUGAGAGGCAGGUUAGAGAACCCAGACUAACUUGAAUCUCGAAAUUGAGUUGAACCAACGAUUCCUCAUAGGAGAGAUCGAUACAUAAACUAAAUGCUCAGAACUCUGACCGAUUGAAACACCACUCCUGAUCUCGUGGGUCUCCCUGUCAUCUUUUAAAGGUAAUUAAGUUGAAGUAUUAUAUUUUAUUAGAGAUAAGUGUUAUCAUUGUACCAGGCAUUUUAUAGAGCAUUAAGGCAUUUGCAUGUUUUUGAUUAACGCUGUGUGACCGAGUAACAAAUGGUGUAUUUUGAAGUGUGUUUGAUUGUAAAAGGCAAAAAACAGAGUGUUUCCAAAAAUAAACGGUAAUCUUAUUUUGUCUCGAGUAAAAGGUUCUCUCAAAGACAGUUAACGGCACGGGAGAUAACAACUCUGACACUCCCCGCUACCGGGACACUGGAAACGGGGAUCAAUGCUCUAUGACAGAAUGAGUUACCAUUAAAAGACAA